UGAGCACAGUCACACGCUCUCCCACACCGUAGCACGGAGGCCAGGGGCCGACCCGGCAGUGGCCUAUCCAGUACCCAUCCCUUCUGCUCCCUCCUUGCUGGCAGAGCCAAGUGGGGGCAUCUGCCCUAAGGGGUGGUGUGGGUCCCUCUCUGGCCCAAAGAGUAAAGAGAGCUUUGUUCACUUCCACCGCCAGUGGUGGGCAAGAAGGGGCCCCGUGAUACAAUUCUGGCCAGAAGGCAGAGGCUCUGGUGGGGCUUCUGGGAAUGGAUUCCUUGCUCGUAAAAAGCUGUGCCGAGAAGGGACUUCUUGCUUCCUGCCUCUGGACACGGCCCAGAGUGUUCUGAGACUCCAAGAACUGUACAGGACACCUCUCGCCGCUUGGAGCUGUAGCAGCCAUCUUGCAAGCAUGGAGGGACCUGCCUGAGGACCAGUGCUGGACCAAGACGUGCCCUGCCCAGCAGUGAUUUCGAGCACUCCUCUCCCAGGUGACUGUGGUUGACCCUGAUCCAUCAUCAAAUCAGUCCUAUGGAUGUGAAAGGAAAUGAACAAGAAAGUCCUUUGCCCUAACUGCUGUUUGCAGACCUGUUGUAUCCAUGAGAACCAAGCAGACAUAUAAACAGGAAAGCUGUCUCUUUGAGAAAAUCAGCAGAAAUGAUGGAGCUGGAGCCCUGAUAGAGCUGGACCUGAAGCUCUCCAGUUGCAUGCUUCAAUAUAAAGUAGG